rnacentral:lncRNA from 1 species
AGAAAAGGGAACCUUCCUACAUAAUAGUGCAACCACCUUGGAAAAGUGACAGUUUUUCAAAAAGUUAAACAUACACCUGCCAUAUGUAUGAUCCAGCCAUUCCACUCCUAGCAUUUACCCCAAAGAAAAUGUAUCUGCGUACAAAGACUGGCACAUAGCAACGAAACCACAAGUGUCCUAACAGGAGCUCAGCCUCUUUAUCCAUUACAAGUGAGGCUUCUUAUUCCACUCAAACAGCUUUUUAUCUGAGAACAAGAGUUGUUCUUAAUUUAGAAACAGGCAAAAUGUGAAAAUUAUACUUCCAACUAAAAUUUUUUNUUUUUUUUGCUUUUUAGGGCCACACCUGCAGCACAUGGAAGUUCCUAGGCUAGAGGUCGAAUCAGAGCUGCAGUUGCCAGCCUACACCACAGCCACAGCGAUGCCAGAUCCAAACUGCUUCUGUGACCUACACCACAGCUCAUGGCAAUGCUGGAUCCUUAACCCACUGAGGGAGGCUGCAGAUCGAACCCGUGUCCUCAUGGACACCAGCUGGCUGUUACUGCUCAGCAGAAUGGGAAUUCCCACAACUAACAACUUCUUAUAAGUUCUUUUAGUCUUGUCUGUUUUCCACAGACAAAACCAACCAAGAAUUGACUUGAGGAACAAUGAAAACGCACACCAUAAUAUAUAGUUCUGAAAUUUAAUUAUACACAUUUUAAUUUAUUUUGAGAAUACAUUUAUAUUUUAAAAUCAGGACAUGUAUACAUAUGACUAAACAGUAUGGCUGACACAGACCAAGUCCACACUGGUAAGCAGCUGAGAACCAUUUAAUGUGCUGACAGUAGUGCUGGCACAGGCACACAAGAAGAAUAAAUAAUAGUGCUUUGGGGGCACAGUAUCAACAGGGUAGGUAAAGAAGGAGUCUCGCUGUGGACACUACAGCAGGAACAACUCCCCAGUACUGACAUGUGCAAAGUUCCAGGUCUCCGCAAUGGAGACGGCCCAGCCCAUCCACACGGCCUCCCACUAAGUUGGCAGGUGACGAGGGCGGAGGAACUUGACCCAGAGAAAAACUGAAGCAGAGUUCAGACAAGCAUGUGUGUGCAUACGCACACCCUACAAAGGCCCCGCCCUACAAAACAGAACUGUACCCAGUAAUAAAGGUGCUCCCAGCCUCCCUGUCACCUGUUGGGCAGUGAGUCAGGGCAUUGCACCUUCUGACACCCAGACAUCUCCAUCAGGAGGAAGGCUGUCCCCUGAGUGCUGGGGACAGGCUUUAGGUGAGAGCAAAGCCUUGGAAGCUACUGCAUUAUUUCGACGUCCGUAAAAAAAAAGAUAUCGCUUGCUAACCCCAAGUGCACAAACCAAAACUGCUUCACGGCCCGCAGCCAGAGGACGAGCACGAUCAUCCUGCUGAGUAACGGUGAAGCCAGUGACAAGCCCCUGGCAGGGCUUCCACAAGCACAGUUACGGGCAGGGAACGGAGUUAGGUUCAUGCGCUCAAACUUACACCUACUGCUAUGAACUAAGUUUUACGGCAUUUCUUGAGUCAAAAUAAAACCAAGUGUCUAAGGACCCACUGGGCCUGUGACGGAUUUCCAUCUGUUACUCAUUCACUCCUGUAAGUGAGGCCCGGGGUAAUGGAGCAUGUCCAGGCUUUCAAGCACAUAGAAACUGACCAAACGUUCAGCUUUAACUCGAUAUUCCCCUCCCAGGGUGAGGGGCAGCCUCGCCUCUCACCAGGAACAUAAAGAGGGAGGAGAGAACAUCCACCGUGAAGGAAAGGGCACGGCAGUUCAGAGCUGGCGAAGGAGCAGGUUACUAGGGGCCGGAGAGCAUCAUGGGAGAAAUCGCUUCCUUCCAGUGCUCCAUCCCUGCUUUAGCAGCUCUAUGCGACAGAAACAGGCAAAGGCAAAGAAAUGAGCCUUGGGUAGCUCAGAGCAGAAGCAAAGUGGGCAAUUCAGCUCUGAGGGGUUAGUAAGACAUAGACUCCAGGAAAUAAUCAGCACACAGGCCAAGAACCUCAUAGGCAGCACACAGCUGGGGCUCCCCGCCCCAUGUGAUGGGGCCUCUAUCAUCUCCAGUGCACUGGGGACCUUCAAUGUCACAACUGGGGAGGGUGAAGUUUUCUGAUGUAAAAUAACGUGAUUAAAUUAAAAAAACAACUUGCCUGACUUUACAUGGGCUGAGAAUCCAAGUCUGAAUAAGUUAAUCAGCAGGUUGGGAAUUUAAACCAGAUAGUUAUUAUUUUUGAAAUCUAUGUUAGGAAUUUCUACUUCCUUUGUAAAAAAAAAGGUUUUUAUGAGCUUGUACAGCUGAGACUGGUUAGUGUAGCCCUAUGUCCAGACGGUAAUGAAGCUGGCAGAUGACAGAUCAGUUUGAAAAGGGGACGUGCAGGGGUUGCCAUACAGACCUGAAGCCCAACAGUGGAGCUGUCAGAAAGGGACGGAUCCUUCUAAGAACAAAGAAUUAAGACAAUUACCAAGAACUCCACCAAGAGAGCACCAGGGCAGCAAUUAGCAGGGUCAUCUCCUGCAGCCAGUGAAAGUUAUUUCUUAAGCAGAAGGAUCCAGGUGAAAUGCCUGGUUGCUGCUGCCAUCUUCCUUCCUAGAUACCUCCCUUAAACUACCACCCCUCAUAUCAUGGUCAAGGCAGGAAAGUGAGUCUCAGCCUUCAAAGUACUGUCCUAACUAAUAGCUUGGGUGUCCUUGAAAAGAUACCCACUCUGCUCUAACUGUGUGCUCCCCAGGGACUGGUGGAUAUUAGAAAAGGUGAAUUGCCACAAACUCAGAAUAGGUGCUGGCAACAGAAUUAAUGCUGGAGUUGCGCCGAGGGCUGGGGUUAGUCAGGGUACCCACCACUGAGGAUGCUGCCAAUGAGCUCCAGGUUCUUCUCAUUGGUUCCAGGCUUGACACCAGCGGGUGUUUUUCUCCUCAAACUGGUAGAAGUAAUGA